rnacentral:rRNA from 1 species
GGUGAACGCUGGCGGCGUGCCUAAUACAUGCAAGUCGAGCGAACGGACGAGAAGCUUGCUUCUCUGAUGUUAGCGGCGGACGGGUGAGUAACACGUGGAUAACCUACCUAUAAGACUGGGAUAACUUCGGGAAACCGGAGCUAAUACCGGAUGAUAUUUUGAACCGCAUGGUUCAAAAGUGAAAGACGGUCUUGCUGUCACUUAUAGAUGGAUCCGCGCUGCAUUAGCUAGUUGGUAAGGUAACGGCUUACCAAGGCAACGAUGCAUAGCCGACCUGAGAGGGUGAUCGGCCACACUGGAACUGAGACACGGUCCAGACUCCUACGGGAGGCAGCAGUAGGGAAUCUUCCGCAAUGGGCGAAAGCCUGACGGAGCAACGCCGCGUGAGUGACGAAGGUCUUCGGAUCGUAAAACUCUGUUAUUAGGGAAGAACAUAUGUGUAAGUAACUGUGCACAUCUUGACGGUACCUAAUCAGAAAGCCACGGCUAACUACGUG